UAGGGAAUCUUCGGCAAUGGGGGGAACCCUGACCGAGCAACGCCGCGUGAGUGAAGAAGGUUUUCGGAUCGUAAAGCUCUGUUGUUAAGGAAGAACGAGUGUGAGAAUGGAAAGUUCAUACUGUGACGGUACUUAACCAGAAAGGGACGGCUAACUACGUGCCAGCAGCCGCGGUAAUACGUAGGUCCCGAGCGUUGUCCGGAUUUAUUGGGCGUAAAGCGAGCGCAGGCGGUUAGAUAAGUCUGAAGUUAAAGGCAGUGGCUCAACCAUUGUAGGCUUUGGAAACUGUUUAACUUGAGUGCAGAAGGGGGUAGUGGAAUUCCAUGUGUAGCGGUGAAAUGCGUAGAUAUAUGGUGGAACACCGGUGGCGAAAGCGGCUCUCUGGUCUGUAACUGACGCUGAGGCUCGAAAGCGUGGGGAGCGAACAGG
rnacentral:rRNA from 1 species